rnacentral:pre_miRNA from 1 species
UAUGGACAUAUUCUCUCCAGAAUGUCCCAUCUUCUUCAUUCUGGUGUGUAUAUCCAUAGA